rnacentral:rRNA from 1 species
GGCGGGUGCUAUACUGCAAGUCGACGCUUUUUUCAAUCAUCGUAGCUUGCUACACCGAUUGAAAAUUGAGUGGCGAACGGGUGAGUAACACGUGGGUAACCUGCCCAAAAGAGGGGGAUAACACUUGGAAACAGGUGCUAAUACCGCAUAACCAUGAUGACCGCAUGGUCAUUAUGUAAAAGAUGGUUUCGGCUAUCACUUUUGGAUGGACCCGCGGCGUAUUAACUUGUUGGUGGGGUAACGGCCUACCAAGGUAAUGAUACGUAGCCGAACUGAGAGGUUGAUCGGCCACAUUGGGACUGAGACACGGCCCAAACUCCUACGGGAGGCAGCAGUAGGGAAUCUUCCACAAUGGGCGCAAGCCUGAUGGAGCAACGCCGCGUGAGUGAAGAAGGUCUUCGGAUCGUAAAACUCUGUUGUUAGAGAAGAACAUGCAAGAGAGUAACUGUUCUUGUAUUGACGGUAUCUAACCAGAAAGCCACGGCUAACUACGUGCCAGCAGCCGCGGUAAUACGUAGGUGGCAAGCGUUGUCCGGAUUUAUUGGGCGUAAAGGGAACGCAGGCGGUCCUUUAAGUCUGAUGUGAAAGCCUUCGGCUUAACCGAAGAAUUGCAUUGGAAACUGGAGGACUUGAGUGCAGAAGAGGAGAGUGGAACUCCAUGUGUAGCGGUGAAAUGCGUAGAUAUAUGGAAGAACACCAGUGGCGAAAGCGGCUCUCUGGUCUGUAACUGACGCUGAGGUUCGAAAGUGUGGGUAGCAAACAGGAUUAGAUACCCUGGUAGUCCACACCGUAAACGAUGAAUGCUAAGUGGUUGGAGGGUUUCCGCCCUUCAGUGCUGCAGCUAACGCAAUAAGCAUUCCGCCUGGGGAGUACGACCGCAAGGUUGAAACUCAAAGGAAUUGACGGGGGCCCGCACAAGCGGUGGAGCAUGUGGUUAAUUCGAAGCACGCGAAGAACCUUACCAGGUCUUGACUCUUUUGAC